AGUACAAAAAUUGUUCUUAUCAAGACGGACAACUUUCUAAUUCACAGUCAUCAGCUACGACCAACAGGAAGUCGGCUAUUUUGAUUUGAAUGUGGAUUGUUUUUUACAUUUAGCUGUGAAUUAAUGCAUACUGCUCAGAGGAGAGUAACACUAUACACACCAAACUUGGUGUACAUGUUGAAAAAACAUUGAGGAACUUAAAUUGUGAAUGGGUUUUGGAUAGCUUGGAUGGUUUUGUCGUGGUGAUUUUUUUAAAUGACAAUAAAGAUGGAACUAUUAAUUUUCCUGCAUUUUUAAAUUCCAAACACUUCAAAACCUUUUUUCAUACAGAAAAAAAGUUAUUCUGAGUAAAUAUGCAUAGUUUCAUGACUUUACAACACUGUAUGGAUAACAGAAAAUUAAAAAACUGUCAGACAUCUCAUAUCACUCUGUCCAUCUGUUUGAGUGUGUGUGCUUAGACUUCCAUUGUCUGAGAGAAAUAGCGCCCCUACAGGUGCAUAUCCUGAACUAAAAAAAGGGAGGAGACUGUCUUUUGGUUUCACUUUUAAAUCGGUUAAAAUACAAAUAAAUACUUGGAUUUAAUUCACACUGACAAGCUAAACCAACAUAUAUGAUUAUUAUCAGGUCAGGGCUCAUUAAUAAUUGAUGUGUGGUCAGUGAUACGUGAGAAACACGAGAGAUGAAUCACCGCUCUGAGCAGGAGCGUGUGGAAUGAUGAGCUCAGAAAAAAACGAGUUUAUUCUUGUUUUAUAGCUAUUAAAAAUAAAGUAUUGCAGCGAUAUCACACAAUUCACCAAUUAGAGCACACCAAGAGCUAAAUUAAGAUGUUUUUGAACUGUUUGUGUGAAAAUGAAAUAUUCGCGGCUGCCUAUAUGAAAUCACUGCCUCCGAUCAGCGCGCACAGUGUCACAAGUUCAAAACAAACGAAUUUAUUCUUGUUUAAGAGCUUUUCAAAAUAAAUUUUUGCCAUAAAUGCACACAAUACAUCCAUUAUAACACUACACGAGCUAAAUGCAGGUGUUUGUGACCCGUUUAAGUGUGCAAGACUAUUUGAAAGCGCGACUGGCAGAAUAACAUAUAUCUCUCGAGCUGCAGGAUUCUGCCUUUUGUCGUAAGAACGAACACAUCACGGACAAGAUUAUUUCAAAAUACAUAAUAGCUUGGCUAAUAUAAACGAAAACAGCCACGUGAACAUAAACUGUUGAGAAAUAAAUCUGAAGUGGAUCUACUGGAUUUUAAUAUUAAGUGACCGCAUAUACCAGCUGCUUCUGUCUUCAAUUUUAAUCUAUAUAAAAAAUUAAACUCAUUCAUCUUGGCUGCUUUUUUAAUGUGUGUACGUAUUUAUUUAUUAUUUUGCUCUAACAAGACUUAAUCUAUAUUUAAUUAAAUCAAUUACAUUUGAUUUUACAUUUGAUUUGUCCAUUUCUGCAUCUAAACGCCUAAAAACCUAAAACAUGCUCUAUUAUACUAUUGUUAGCAAUUUCUUUAUCGUCCAAUUUAUCUGGUGUACACACUUUAUUUUCAUAAUAAACUCGUUUGUUAGAUUAUACACAGUUAUAGUGGUCUAUAAUAAAUAUUGACAGGUUUUAUUCAAGCUGUUUAGAAUGAUUGCA